rnacentral:ncRNA from 2 species
UAUUUAAUUUUAAAUGUUGGUUUUUCUAAAAUUUAGAAGAUUAAAAGGGAAAUUGGAUUUAAAGACAAUGCUGUUCCCGCAACUGUAUGCUAUUACCGAUUUAGNNUUUUUCUAUAAACUCAAUGCCACUGAUUUUUUUUGGGAAGGCGAAUAGNAAAAUGCAAGCCAGGAGACCUGCCANUNAGGANUGUAUGAU